UACAGAGGGGGCAAGCGUUGUUCGGAAUUACUGGGCGUAAAGGGCGCGUAGGCGGCCGCCUAAGUCAGACGUGAAAUCCCUCGGCUCAACCGGGGAACUGCGUCUGAUACUGGGUGGCUUGAAUCCGGGAGAGGGAUGCGGAAUUCCAGGUGUAGCGGUGAAAUGCGCAGAUAUCAGGAGGAACACCGGUGGCGAAGGCGGGUCUCUGGGCCGAUACUGACGCUGAGGAGCGAAAGCGUGGGGAGCGAACAGG
rnacentral:rRNA from 1 species